UUAACACAUGCAAGUCGAGGGGCAGCGCGGCGGAAGCUUGCUUCCGCUGGCGGCGACCGGCGCACGGGUGCGUAACGCGUAUCCAACUUGCCCGUUGCCCGGGGACAACCGGUGGAAACGCCGACUAAUCCCCGAUGGGACGGAGGCCCUCAUGGGUCUCUGUUGAAAGUUACGGCGGCGACGGAUUGGCUCGCGUCCGAUUAGCUAGUUGGCGGGGUAACGGCCCACCAAGGCUACGAUCGGUAGGGGUUCUGAGAGGAAGGUCCCCACAAUGGAACUGAGACACGGUCCAUACUCC
rnacentral:rRNA from 1 species